UACGGAGGGUGCGAGCGUUGUCCGGAAUCACUGGGCGUAAAGGGCGCGUAGGCGGCCUGGCAAGUCGAUGGUGAAAGCCCGAGGCUCAACUUCGGGUCGGCCACUGAUACUGCUAGGCUUGAGUCGACUAGAGGCAGAUGGAAUUCCGGGUGUAGCGGUGGAAUGCGUAGAGAUCCGGAAGAACAUCAGUGGCGAAGGCGGUCUGCUGGGCCGUUGCUGACGCUGAGGCGCGACAGCGUGGGGAGCAAACAGG
rnacentral:rRNA from 1 species